CAAAGACAGUUUUUCCCAUCUGCAUAAUGUACCACCUACUCACACACAUUACAUUUCUGAAGUAUUAAAAAACAGUCUCAAACAAAACUUUAAAAAGUCAGGUUUUAUUCUACAGAAUUACCUAUCAUUGUCCUUAUAAUAUCAUCCUUGGAAGAAAAAUCAAAAUUAUUUGCUGAAGUAUGCAGUCAGCAAGUUCAUGUUCACAAUAUGGCUUGAAAAUCUGGUGUUAUCAAUUUGUCAAAUGUCAUUUUAAAAAGUUUUGAGAGGACAUAACAAAAAGACAAUGACCUGGUAAUAUAAAUCCAAUGAGACAGUUCUUUUGGAGUAUAAAUGUGAGAAAAUGACCACCAAAAUUUUAAUUUUUUCUUUUUUUUGCAGUACCAGGGAUCAAACUCACAACCUUGUGCUUGCCCGGCACGUGCUUAUGCCACUGAGCUGUAUCCCCAGGCCCCAAUAAAAUUUUAAAUUAAGAAUAACAGUGGGGCCUGAACUACCAGAUAUUAAGACCCCUGCAAAGCUGGAACAAAUUAAAACCUGGUAAUGGCACAAAAAGAGCUCAAUAAAUUAGAAUAGAGCAUCUUUAAAAAGUGUACCAAUUAUUAGGAAUACAUUUACAUCUGUUAUACAGGUAGUAAUAUGAAUUGCAUACAUAAGAUAUACAAUAAUCAAAAUAUAUACAUUAUAUAUACUCAAAGAGAAAUUUAGCAUAUGCAGAAGUGUUUCAUAGCAGUUGGAAAAGGAUGAGUUUUUCAACCUUCUGUACUGGAAAUAAUGGCAAUUCAUUUAAAGAAAACAUACGUGUACCUCAUAUAAAUUCCUUAUUGAUUAAAGGUAUAGUUAAAAAAGCAGCAUAGAAAUACAUUUAUAAUCUUCAGCUAUGGAAAACUGACAAAUCUGACAUUAAAAAUUUCUCCCUGAUUAAAGACAGCACAAGCAAAAGCCCAAAACAAAAAAACUAAUGCAGUGAAAAUAAAUACAAGUGGCUAAUAAAUCCAGUAGAGUUCCUAUACACUAGUAAGGGGAAGAGUGGACUCACAAAAAGAAAAAUAGGUGGAGAACUACUUAGUGGCAGAGUGCUAGCCCAGUGUAGACAAGGCCCUGGGUCUGACCUCAUACUAAAAUAAAUAAACAAACAAACGAAUUAAUGCAAGCAAUAAAUAGAUCAGGUCAACAAACAUAAGUCAAAGAAAGUAUGGCAGAAGCAGGGAAGAGAAAGAAUAAAUAAAGAAGCAGGUGGAAGGAGGAAAACAGAGAUACCUAAGUAUUUCUGUUUUAUGAGCAUCUAGUGUAGCCAAGGUGAAGGAGGUGAAAAGUGCUGUUUGUCACAGCUGGCAAGAGCGCAGCCUGGUACACGUGGGCAAAAAGAAAAGUUGAUACAAUCAAAAUUUUGCUAUGUACACUACACUUCUGAGAAAUGUGGUUUAUACAAAUAUUAACACUACUGUACCACAAUAAAAUGAACAAGAUUAUUUACUGUAGUGAUUUGUAGCAGCAAAAGAAAGUGGAUGUAUACCAUAAGAAAUAGGUAACUUUCACUGUUCUCAUAAAUUUCUAAAGGAAUAAAAAAAGGGAAUACUAUAGAUGUAACUUCUUUGAACAUAUUCUCCUCUUACCAGAUAAAAAUUUCAUGAUAAAAUCUAGCCUGCACUCAUCACAUUUUCUGAAGGAUUUUUGGCACUGCUGACAUUUUGCAUGGGAUAAUUCACUGUUGUGAAGGGCAGGGCUCUGCAUUGUGGGAUUUUUAGCAGUAUCCCAAAAAUGUCUCUAGCUAUUGAUAAAUGUCCAUGAUGAAGCAAAACCAGCUCUAGUUGAAAACUACUGCUUUUAUACAUAAUUAGCAAAGGAAUUAAAUAUACUAUAUAUUACAUAAAACUAUCAUUUCAAAUACAUACAUCACCUCCAACUGAUCCUUUUGCCCACAAAAUCAGCAAUCCUUUUAGUUUAGAUCCAGCUAAGCUUGAAAUAGCAAAAUUACUUCUAACUUUUCUUCUCAAAUAUUUUCUACUAGUUCUAUUAACUUAUUUUCAGAAAUAUUUCUCAAAUUUGUCUUUAGACCCACAUAUCUGCAGUGUUGAAUCUGGUGCCACUCAGCUUUUGAUCUCUAGUUCAACAAACUAUGUUCUACCUCUGCCCACAACACUUUUCAUCAAUACCCCAUUCACCUAAAAUAUAUCAUGCUUUAUAUAAAAAAAUACAAAAAAAUUCUGCUAUACAUCCUUCUUUGCAAUAUGACCCCAACUUACCUUUUAAGAGACAUCUCUUCCUUGCUAUUCCCAAAUAUAGACUGUUUUCUGUGUGCAUGGCUAUGGGUCAUGAAAUUUCUAUGUACUAUCCAAACACCACUACUCUCAUGAAAAUUAAGUUUUACUUUUAUAGUAGGAAAAUUUUAUUAAUAGCACAAGGGAACAAAGACUUCUCAACAAUGCAAGAACCACAAAGGCCAGCUUCAACACCGUACGAAGAUUCUUGGAUUCAUUUCCACAAAGAUUUACUGAGCCUAAGAGGUAAAGACCACAGAAUUGUUUCCCCUGUGUAACUGGUAAGUUUACAUACUUCCAUGCUCCCCCAGGGGAACCCUAACAACCACUUCAUGUCAAAAGCCUCCAACUCACCAGUCACUCAGAGGUUGGCAAAGUAAGUAAGAUACCGAGUCUGCCACCACAUACUGAGUUUGAAGCCAGGCCUUUCCACUACACGGCCUCAAGUGAAUCUAACUUUUCUCUGAACCUAUUUUAUCACCUGUAAAAUAGCAGUAACUACUAAUCAAGAUGCUUGGUGAGUUCAAUGAGUUAACCUAUAUAAAGUGCUCAGAGAAACUUCAAGCAUAUGAGUAAUUUUCACACCACCAUCAGAAAGCCAGAAUCUGUGGGUCUUUGACCUCACCAAAAUAUCAACUUCCUUCUCUUUCCUCAUUUGAUAACAGGGAACCCCUAGACACCAUUAGUUUCAACACUGUGCGAGGUUCUGGGAUAAACAGAUCAAAGAAAAAGACAUGAUUCUGAUCCUAAAAGGAAUUCAAGUCUGAAAGGGCUGCCACGUAAGUGUUUUCCUAUUACAAUGCAAACUGCAAUGAAGGAAGGCCACAGGAAAGGUACUAAUCCACCCAUAUUAGAAGAACCAGGGGAAGGGUGCUUCAAAAGAUUCCUAAUAAAUCUGGGAGGAAAAAAAAGGAAAAGGGGAUCAGGAUGAGGGAGCAUGACACUGGGAUACAGGGCAGGAGAGCAAGUGGUAACACUUCGCAAAGCAGGAAACUCAUUCAGGGCCGUGUAUAACAUUUAGAGCACUUGAUUUUGUAAUAUAAAGACUCAGUGAAUUAUAUUGUACACUUUAGCCACAGAAUAAAAAAAGGAUUGAAGAGGUCUUUUUUUUUUUUUUUUUUUUUGGUACCAAGAAUCAAACUCAUAACCUCACGCUUUUGCCAGGCAGGUGCUGCAUCACUGAGCUAUAUCCCCAGCCCUCGAAGAGGCAAGUUUGAAGGGAGCGCAUUUAGAAGACUGUUAUACAAAUACAUUAAGAAAUUAUAGGAUUAACCUAAAAUAAGAACAAUGGAGGGAAGAAAGGUAAUAACAAAAAAGGAUUAUAAGACCUGCAGGGUGAGAACACUUGCCUACUGUGUGCAUGCGAGAGUGGUGGAUUUCAUGGGGUGGGGGAGGAAAAGGUGUUAAAAGAUAAAAUCUGGUACCUUUAAAACUUGAAUGAAUGUAGGAGGAAAGAAGGACAGUCCAGAGAAUUUCUGCCCAGGAAGAAAGGGUAGAUAGUGGUGCCAUUAAAAAGUAUAAAAAUGCAAAAGUCUUGCAGGGAACUAAGUCUGCUGGUCAGGAUCUUGCUUCUCUUACAGGAUCUUGCAUUCACUCCAGAAUUACAGCAGGCCACAGAACUCUUUUGUUUUAUGAAACACUGUGUGAACACUACGGCAAGUCUGUAACUUUUCAAGUUAAACUAUAAUAUGCUGUUACACAGAGGACACAAAGAUGAGUAACACUCUUCAGGUGGCAUGCUCAGACAUGCAAUCAAACUCAAGACAGAAAAACAAUAAACAGGGAAAUUCAGAGAAUUCUGCAGGAAAUCAUAGGAAAUGAAACAAGCAUGAGAGGAAAUACACUAAUAGAACAUGGUUAUAUUUAAAUGUUAGAAAUGUUUAAAAAAACAGCAACUCAAAUGACUUCUAAAACGCUAAUCCAGGUGCUGUUAAUGAAUACAGACACAUUCACUGAGGAUCUGAGAUCCUUUAGGACAUAUGGACUAGGUCCACAGAAAACAGCAAGAAAAUCAGGUUUACAGAACAGCAGAUAUGUGAAAGCCAUUAAAACACUUGAACUCAGAUCUAGACUGCUUGCAGAAAAUGAAGGGAGAAAAGGCAGCCAACGAAGAAACUAGUAAUAAAGAAAUCAGAAAAUAAGUACUCUCCUCCCCUGUGAAGUCCCUGCAUGGAAUUAAGACUCUACAUCAUGCAAUUUGGGGGCCAUAUUUUUAGAGGUGAUUUGAUCCAGUCCAUCAUCUUAGAGGUGAAAUUUUAAGUACACUGCUAAGAUCAUAUAGAUGAUUAAUGAACUUUCGCUCUUGUUUUCUCCAAGCUGCUUCCAAGGCAUCCUCUCCUUUCCACGUCCCUGCGUCUUCUGGCCGCACCGCCUAGGACAGAGGCAAGUAGUGCGCCCAAGGUGACUAAGCCCAGCUCACCGUAUGCAAAACACUGCCAGUCAAAUAAAGGAGAGAACGAAAAUGCUUUGUCUAGAUCGGAUUCUUCAAGUUCAGUGAAGUGAGGGAGACCUUUCAAACAAAAGCCUAUCAAGAAGAAAGCUGGAAAAAAAUCUCGUAAGUGGCAGCUUCAAUCAUAAACAGCCAACAAAGUGAGGCCCAGUUCAUUCUACAAAACCUGCUUGAUGGCUUUAAAAGUAAUAUAUUUUCCACUUGAAAAUUAGUUAUAAAAGAAGGUAAGGCAAUAGUACCACUAUUCAACUUUAUGUGGGUUAAGAUUUGUGGAUUUGUGCAUAAAGUGGACCACUUGUGUAAGACUUUAUUGGGAAAAAAACUUUAUUGGGAAUUUUCACCAGUUACAAACUCUUAGAAUAUAAUUCACUUCUAAACUGGAGACUGCCUAUACAUAAAUCUGGUUGAUGAAUCAAACACUAGUACAUAGUUCAAAUUUACUAAAUUGAUCAAGGUUCAAGACUAGAAAAACUCAGCAACUGGGGGUAAUUCAAAGUUUAAAAUCAAUCAUAAAAUACAAUUUGCAAUUGUUAUAAUCACCUAAGCAUCUAUAGUAUGCGCUCUGAAAUUUUUUUUUAAAAAUGGGGACUAGUAAUGCAGCAUAGUGGUAGAGAAGUUCACCUACCAUGUGUAAAGCCCUAGGUUCAAAUCCCAGAACCAAAAACUAAAACAUAAAAAUAAAAAAGACAUCACAAGAAACAAGAAGUAUUUGGUCAUAAACAACGAAGAUACAUGCAUCUUAACUACAUCUUAACUAUUCCUACCGAGAUAUAAAAACAUGAUACAGCUACUCAAGAGGCUGAGACAGGCUAAUCAUACUAAGUUCAAGUCCAGCCUGGGCAACUGAAUGAGAGUGUAU